UUAUGGAGAUACAAAUCAACAAAUAAAAAUUCAAGUUGUACGUGUUUUGAUUACACAUACGUUGUAAAAAUGAUCCACAAUCAAGGCUUUCAGAGAAGGAGCUAGCAUAGAAGAUACAACCUUGAGAACACCUGUUAAGCUGUUGGUAGCAUCCCACAUCUCCCAAAGCCCUUCCCAGGACCAAGCCAACACAAGGAAACAACUCGAGAAUUUCCAGAGAGAUAGUCAAUCUGUCUCUCUCCACUUGUGGAGACAGACUUGUUUCAUUUUAUAAUAAAAAGUUACUCAUGUGAAA